AUUUCUUUUUAACAAUCCCAAAACUGAAAAAGUGUUUGGGAGUGAAGGGGGGAAGGGUGGGGGAGACAACUGCCAUCAGAUAGGACCUCUACUCAUUAGCAGAAAUAGUAUGAAAUAUAUUGUGUGGGAUAUAGGUUUUUAAGCAGAUGUUGGUUUGCUGUCUGCCAUGUACGAUCUAGUUGAGAUUCCUGCAUUGCGGGGGAUUGGACUAGAUGACUCUUGGGAGUCCCUUCCAACUUGACAAUUCUAUGAUUUGACACAUGCCUCUUUAAAAACUGAACAUGCCAUGCACUUCCUAAGAAAUCCUAUUAGUAGAAGCAAAAUUAUACCAAAAUGGUUCUAAGGACAUAACAUUAUGCCUGCCACAAUCAUCUGUAUAUGAUACAUCAUCAUUGCUCAAAUGCAUUUUUCUUUGCUUCCAUACCACAUCAUAAAUGCAUGCUGUGGGAAUGAGAGCAUAAGCCAAUAUAUUAUCAAACGUUGACUGCUUUCCUAAGGGUACUUAAUCACAGUCAUGACUAGAAUAGCUGUCAGUUGUUGGGAACGGGAAGAAACCAACUAGAAACCAAACAGCUUGUGCCGUAAGGUGGAGCAAUAACUGACAUUUUCGUCGGAAAUGAGUUAUGACUGUAAGAGAGAAGGCUUCACAGUGGCGGUGUUGUAAAUAGAGUCAGUGUGCCAUUAGAGAAAGCUCAUUAAUACACACCUCUGCUUUCGGCUGCAAGAUCAGUUAAACAAGCUACCUUUUAUUUAUAGACCUACAAGGGAAACACCAGGUCAUAUUGGCUGUUGACAUCUCAGACAGCCUACAGAUGGAAAACCUGAAAUGUUUCAUUCCCAAAACAUUUAUGGCUAUCAAUAGGAAGUCUUCUGUCUGCUCAAAAUAUCUAAGCUGUUUCUGAGCACUAUGAAAUGUUUUUUCUUCUUCCAAAGCAAUUGCAAAACUUCCAAUACACAAUAAAUAUUAAAAGGCUAGGGUCUGCACACAUUCUACUCCUCAUACAUACAGGAAAAUGUGUGCAUGAAUAGUAUUCAAAAGAUUUUAAAUAUAUAUACACCACUGAUGCGAAUGCUAGAAUCUCUUUUUUAAAAGGACAUGAGCCACCCCCACCGCCAAGUCUGCAAACAUAAUAUGUAUGCAUGUUAAUACAAUUUCACAGGACUCAACAGGCAGCUCAUGUGGCUCAGAUGUUUGCAAGACUAUGUUGAGAGUCUGGAACAAAAUAUAAGUAUGACUUGGAAACCCUCUAUAUCACCUAAGCCUUUGGAUACAUUUGUAAACAGCAAAUUACAGAACAGCUUAUUAAUGACUGACUAUCCAGUCUCCUGUAGACUUUUAAUUCUUGUAAUAAAACAACACAGCAUAUGUUUGUUUGCUUGAUAUUACUAAUUUCAACUAGAUGCACCCAAAUCCCCUUUUCUCCUAUUUAGCCAUGGCAAGAAAAAAAUGCUGCCUUUGGCAUCUCUAUAACUGCUCAUGGAAGUAUUCGUAAGAAUGGGCCCUUAAAAAGUCAUGUCUCCAUUGUUACAAAAGUUUUGACACAAAACUUGGUAGAAGACUUACCAGCAUGAAUCAAAGGCUCUGCUUAAGAUACAGGAACAGAAUAGACUUAUAAGUGUACACAAAGCUAACUAGCAUUUGCUUGUCUCAGUUCUGUAUACUCUAACUGAAAAUAGUUCUACCAAGAUUCUUUUCCAGCUCUGCUACCUGAGAUCCUUGAACCAUAGACGCACCUUUGAACCUGGGACUUCAUCAAAACAAUGCACAUGUUCCACCACUCAGAUCUCCCAACCGUCCUGUGGAAAGGAAGAAGAGAGCAAAGGCAACAUCAGGACCUGCUUCAAUUCAACUGUCUCCUCAAUGACCUUCAUAGAGCCAACGACCCUCUGGAAUGGAUGCCAGCUCCUGCUCCUAUGGGGCUGGCUUUUUUGAGCACACGACUUGGUGUAUCUGCCGUGUUUAGCCACUCUGAGAACUCUAGUUGAAAGGUGAGAUGUAACCAGAGCAUUGGGAACAUUGGGAAGUGGCAGGGGAGGCUGGACAGGGAAGAGGGGAUAAGCAAAAACCACCUCCCUUCCUCCAGUAAGAGUCUCCACUGCAUAGCCUUUUCCUCAAAUUGAUGGAACCCUUCCAUUCAUUGCAAGGACACUGGAUCCAAGGCAUUUUUAAUUGCGCAAUUGCUCUCUGGUGACAGAUGUUGAAAAACACCUCUAACAAGGGACAAUGCUGGGCAGGGUUUUAUGGUUUUAUUGUAUCCCAAGUAUUGCAAAAUUAUGCCCUUAAUGUGCUGUGCAACCUUAAACCACAUUAAACUUCCAAAGCUUA